GUUGCUGGGUAUAGACCCGAAACCAGGCGAUCUAUCCAUGAGCAGGUUGAAGGUUGGGUAACACUAACUGGAGGACCGAACCCACUGUCGUUGAAAAGCCAGGGGAUGACUUGUGGAUAGGGGUGAAAGGCUAAUCAAGCCUGGUGAUAGCUGGUUCUCCCCGAAAGCUAUUUAGGUAGCGCCUCGGACGAAUACCAUAGGGGGUAGAGCACUGUUUCGGCUAGGGGGUCAUCCCGACUUACCAAACCGAUGCAAACUCCGAAUACCUAUGAGUACUAUCCGGGAGACAGACUGCGGGUGCUAACGUCCGUAGUCAAGAGGAAAACAAUCCAGACCGCCAGCUAAGGCCCCAAAAUCAUAGUUAAGUGGGAAACGAUGUGGGAAGGCAUAGACAGCUAGGAGGUUGGCUUAGAAGCAGCCACCCUUUAAAGAAAGCGUAAUAGCUCACUAGUCGAGUCGGCCUGCGCGGAAGAUGUAACGGGGCUAAAACUAUGUGCCGAAGCUGCGGAUUUGACAUUAGUCAAGUGGUAGGGGAGCGUUCUGUAAGCCGAUGAAGGUGUAUUGAGAAGUAUGCUGGAGGUAUCAGAAGUGCGAAUGCUGACGUGAGUAACGACAAAACGGGUGAAAAACCCGUUCGCCGAAAGACCAAGGGUUCCAGUCCAACGUUAAUCGGGGCUGGGUGAGUCGACCCCUAAGGCGAGGCCGAAAGGCGUAGUCGAUGGGAAAUUGGUUAAUAUUCCAAUACUUCUGUGUAAUGCGAUGAGAGGACGGAGAAGGUUAAGUCAGCCUG
rnacentral:rRNA from 1 species